rnacentral:rRNA from 1 species
ACGGAAGGUAGCAGUGGGGAAUAUUGGACAAUGGGGGAAACCCUGAUCCAGCGACGCCGCGUGAGUGAAGAAGUAUUUCGGUAUGUAAAGCUCUAUCAGCAAGGAAGAAAAUGACGGUACUUGACUAAGAAGCUCCGGCUAAAUACGUGCCAGCAGCCGCGGUAAUACGUAUGGAGCAAGCGUUAUCCGGAUUUACUGGGUGUAAAGGGAGCGUAGACGGCAAAGCAAGUCUGAAGUGAAAUCCCGGGGCUCAACCCCGGAACUGCUUUGGAAACUGUUUAGCUAGAGUGCAGGAGAGGUAAGCGGAAUUCCUAGUGUAGCGGUGAAAUGCGUUGAUAUUAGGAGGAACACCAGUGGCGAAGGCGGCUUACUGGACUGUAACUGACGUUGAGGCUCGAAAGCGUGGGGAGCAAACAGGAUUAGAUACCCUGGUA